UACAGAGACUGCAAGCGUUAUUCGGAUUCACUGGGCGUAAAGGGUGCGCAGGCGGCCAAGUGUGUCAGGUGUGAAAUCCCGGGGCUUAACUCCGGAACUGCGCCUGAAACUACUUGGCUAGAGCAUUGGAGAGGGAAGUGGAAUUCACGGUGUAGCAGUGAAAUGCGUAGAUAUCGUGAGGAACACCAGAGGCGAAGGCGACUUCCUGGACAAUUGCUGACGCUCAGGCCCGAAAGCGUGGGGAGCCAAAGGG
rnacentral:rRNA from 1 species